rnacentral:rRNA from 1 species
AAGCAUCUAAGCACGAAACUUGCCCCGAGAUGAGUUCUCCCUGACUCCUUGAGAGUCCUGAAGGAACGUUGAAGACGACGACGUUGAUAGGCCGGAUGUGUAAGCGCAGCGAUGCGUUGAGCUAACCGGUACUAAUGAACCGUGAGGCUUAACCUUACAACGCCGAAGGUGUUU